rnacentral:rRNA from 1 species
AUUGAACGCUGGCGGCAUGCCUUACACAUGCAAGUCGAACGGUAACGCGGGGCAACCUGGCGACGAGUGGCGAACGGGUGGGUAAUAUAUCGGAACGUGCCCAGUCGUGGGGGAUAACUGCUCGAAAGAGCAGCUAAUACCGCAUACGACCUGAGGGUGAAAGCGGGGGAUCUUCGGACCUCGCGCGAUUGGAGCGGCCGAUAUCAGAUUAGGUAGUUGGUGGGGUAACGGCCUACCAUGGCGACGAUCCAUAGCUGGUUUGAGAGGAUGAUCAGCCACACUGGGACUGAGACACGGCCCAGACUCCUACGGGAGGCAGCAGUGGGGAAUCUUUGGACAAUGGGGGGCAACCCUGAUCCAGCCAUGCCGCGUGAGUGACGAAGGCCUUAGGGUUGUAAAACUCUUUCAGCGGGACGAUAAUGACGGUACCCGCAGAAGAAGCCCCGGCUAACUCCGUGCCAGCCGCCGCUGUAAC